rnacentral:lncRNA from 1 species
CGGGAAGCCAGGCAAGAGCCUGGGGAGUGACAGAGGCAGACAAAAGCUGGAACACAGCUUUGUCCAGGUGCGCAUGUCAAGCCAGGACAUGCUAGCCGCAGGUAUCUGCUGGCUGCCCUCGGCCAUGCAGCUGGGGACUUGGGGACCUGAGAGCCCCAAGACCUGGAUUUUAGCACAACUGUAAUUUGAACAAGAUAUGUGGCCUCAGACAAAUUCCGUUUCCUCUCUGAACCUCAGUUGUGUCACCUGUGAGUUAACCAGAAAUCUAGCUUUCUUCAACCACUCGAGGUCUCUGACUUCCCUCCCAUUUCAGCUCAGCAACGUCAUCCUGAAGCUAUCCCAGCACACUCGAACCAAAAAGAAGUUCCCCUCCCAUGCGCCACUACAUGGUAUAUUCAGGUGUGAUGCCUCUGGAAAUACCAGAAGACUUUUCCAGGAAUCUCCAAGCAUAGAGAAUGUUGAAGGAAUCAGCUCCCCACUCAUGGAUUUCUGAAUACCCUUUCCUCAACUUGUACCCAAGAACACUCCACGGUAUAGGCUGGCACGAUGACCUGGUGGCUGUCGUCUCCCACCUCCCCUUUCACAGCCAUCCCUUCCCCACCCUAUAAAAGAAAGACAUGCCCCUAACUCACCUCGAAUGUUGUGGCUUUGCCUCUGCAGCAUACAACAAGAAACUACAUGUGUCCAGAGGCCUCAUCGACUCAUGACACUAUAAAGCACCUAAUCCAGCUAAGACUUCACUUCCAAUGACAUUUAUGUUUUAUAUUUAGUUAACAGGUAUAAAAAUUUGCAAUAUGUAUAUUUUGCUCUGAUAAGUUGCAUAUUAAAAAUAAUUGUAAUAGCAAUCCAAUGCAGAAAACAAUGUUAACACUUAAUAGCCUUAAUAGAUAAGGGAAUUUAAAAAUUUAAAUUUCAAAUUAUAUGCAUAUUUUUGAUGCAGGAAUCCUCAAAGUAUGAUAGGGUGAAUAACAAAAAGAUUUUUAAGUGUAAAAAUAUGUUAAUUUAAAAUUCUGAAGGGGAAGAACAGUA